rnacentral:rRNA from 1 species
AGCGAUGAAGCUCCUUCGGGAGUGGAUUAGCGGCGGACGGGUGAGUAACACGUGGGUAACCUGCCUCAUAGAGGGGAAUAGCCUUUCGAAAGGAAGAUUAAUACCGCAUAAGAUUGUAGUACCGCAUGGUACAGCAAUUAAAGGAGCAAUCCGCUAUGAGAUGGACCCGCGUCGCAUUAGCUAGUUGGUGAGGUAACGGCUCACCAAGGCGACGAUGCGUAGCCGACCUGAGAGGGUGAUCGGCCACAUUGGGACUGAGACACGGCCCAGACUCCUACGGGAGGCAGCAGUGGGGAAUAUUGCACAAUGGGGGAAACCCUGAUGCAGCAACGCCGCGUGAGUGAUGACGGUCUUCGGAUUGUAAAGCUCUGUCUUUAGGGACGAUAAUGACGGUACCUAAGGAGGAAGCCACGGCUAACUACGUGCCAGCAGCCGCGGUAAUACGUAGGUGGCAAGCGUUGUCCGGAUUUACUGGGCGUAAAGGGAGCGUAGGUGGAUAUUUAAGUGGGAUGUGAAAUACCCGGGCUUAACCUGGGUGCUGCAUUCCAAACUGGAUAUCUAGAGUGCAGGAGAGGAAAGGAGAAUUCCUAGUGUAGCGGUGAAAUGCGUAGAGAUUAGGAAGAAUACCAGUGGCGAAGGCGCCUUUCUGGACUGUAACUGACACUGAGGCUCGAAAGCGUGGGGAGCAAA